GGCUAGAGUGUGAUAAAAAAAUAUUUAAAAGGUCAACUUCACUGAGGAGGAAGGAGCAUAGGAAAACACAGAAAAGAGCAAAGAAGAAAAACAACAGCAGGUCACUGCUACAGUGUGAUAAAAAAAUCUAAAAGUCAACCUCAGUGUGCAGGAAGGAGUGUAGGAAAAUACUGAGAGAAAAGAACAAAGAAGAAAAACAACAGCAAAUCACUCUAUGUACUGUGGAAAGAAACUGAAAAUGGGGUUGGAAAAAACAGAGGAAGAAGGUCCGAGUAGUCCCAGGUAUUCAAGGGGCCGAGAUGGGUUGACCACCUGGGCAAGACCGGGGAAGUGAAGGCCAGAGUGAAUCACCAUUGUAUCCUCCUGCUGGACCUGAACGGUACUGCCACUGGUGAAAAUCAUAUGGACGAUCUUAGACAUGGCAAGGCGAGAGCCAUCUGGUCAACCUUAGACAUGGAAAGCUGGAGGCUAAGUCCAACGCUUG
rnacentral:lncRNA from 1 species